AGGAUUAUAGUUUACAUAAAACAUUUGAUUUGCAUUCAAAAAAUAUUAAUAAUAAAUUAAUUUAUCUUA
rnacentral:tRNA from 1 species